rnacentral:rRNA from 1 species
AUGGAGUAUGAUCAGAAAAAGUAUUUUAUACGGAUGUUUGUUGGAUUGAAGCCUCUUUGCGAUGGAUUCUUGGCUGGAUGCAGACCUUACUUGGCGAUAGACAGCACUCAUUUGACAGGCAAGUAUAGAGGCCAGUUAGCUACUGCUUGUGCUAUUGAUGGGCACAAUUGGCUAUACCCUGUAGCAUAUGGAGUUAUUAAUGCGGAAACUACUGAAAGUUGGGUGUGGUUUAUGGAGAAGCUUCGUGAGGCUAUUGGCUCUCCCCCUGGCCUAGCCAUAUGUUCAGAUGCAGGUAAAGGGAUUGACACUGCAAUUGAAAAGGUGUUUGAGUAUGCAGAACAUAGGGAAUGCAUGCGACACUUGGUUGUGAACUUCAAAAAAAGUUUCAUGGCAAAGUUUUUGAUGAUCAUUUGUGGCCAGCUGCUUAUUCAUGGACUCCUCGCGCUUUUGACUAUCACAUGGCAGCCAUAG